CAAGCUCUAUAUGGCCUUGAGGA
rnacentral:siRNA from 1 species